UUCUAUUUGCGAUGCACACAGCUCUGGCGCUGUGCAGUUGCGUUGAAUAUCCAGAUAUUCCAAAAUAUCUCGGAUGGAUAUCCAUCCGAAAUACAUAGACUGGUGUUAGGUGCAGCUUCUUCGUGUAAACUCUGAAUCUCGUGUAAACUCUGAAAAAUCAGAAAUGCUUUAGAUUAAAUCGAAGGGAAACAAAUGUAAAAAUUCGAGCAGUGAAUUAAGAAAAAAACCGUCAUUUUAAGCAUAAAAAACAAAAUCAGUCUGCUUUUCAAAGUUAUAAUAUCGCUGUUGCUAUCAAUUGACUGUGGAGAAAUUCAACUAAUUGGGCAAUUCAGAAUACAAAAAGUUACACAGCGACAAACACACACAUUUGAUUCCAAUAGAAACGCUGCGAUAAAAUGGGCAAUACAUCAUUAAAAUCAUCACAUUCGCUCUCCAAACUGUUUUAAGUUACGAUAUCAUGAAUGACACCAAACAAACAACUGCACAUUUGAAAUGCCACCACUUCUUCGAGUCCGUGGGAGAUCCAAUGGCCGAUAUGCAUCGAUAACAUUUCCUUCAUCGUAUUCUACAUACAAAUGUGGAGCGACUCAGGAAUGGAUCGUUGACAGGUUGAAUUCAUAAGGCCAAAAUCUUCGGAACCAAAAAGAAGAAUACCAAAUGACAUUUUCCAAUUUCAGUGGUGAAAUGACAAAUAGACGUGGAAAGCAUUCGAAUUCAGUUCAAUUCAUCGCAUUUAAGUGCUAAUUUGACACUAAGCCCAUGAUCAACAAAAAGCUUGACUUAUCGAUCACAUUGUCUUUCAUCGUGUCUCAUUGAUAACGGCCCAGGCAAGGAUCGACUGGCAGCAUUGGAUGAAAUGAGUGUAUGUUGGCUUCAGUACUCUGUAUAACGACUAAAAAUGAACUUUGAAUCAUCAAAUAGGCCGAUGUAUGUAGUAAAUGAACAUCGCAAGAAAACGGAAACUUCAACACGUUUCGUAUCAACGAAUCUACAAAUAUCUAGCAACAGCUCCAAAUUCACUUGGCUGAAAAGCCAUUGAUUCACAGCUUGAAAAUAAUUUAAGCUCUUUUUCAAACGAAUCCCUUUACGUUCUCACAUUUGUUUUUUUAUUUUAGUUAAUUUUCCGUAAUGGAAUCAUAAAAAUCAAAUUCAAUUCAGAAAGCAAGUCAAAUUUAAGGAUUAAUUAUCUUUUUACCAAUUCAGACAGGUUUUUCUAUUUAGAUAUUUUAAUUAGCAAGAACUUAGAGUGAAAUGUCAAUUGUUUUUGAAUUUUACUAAGCCUUGUGAAUUGAAUUUUAUUUUCCCGGAGCCGAAUGAAUAAACUUCUUAUCGGCGUGCUUUCGGCACAUAUUUUCUAAACUUCAUAAACGCAUAAUAACCGUUAGAUAACUUCUCGAACACUGUAAUGUAUCUUUUACGCAAACACCAAUUUUAUUCAUUGAUCUUACUUUAUAUUUUACAAAAUCGACUUACAUACUAAUAAGCUAAAAGAUUUUUGUUAAUUUGGACUUUUCCUUGGGAUACCUAAGACAGUAUAUCCUCAAUAAAAGUUAUUUCACAAUUAAUAUAUUUAUAAGCGAUAUUUGUUUGUUAUAUUACAUCUUAUUACUUGUGUUUAUUAAUUACUUUUGUGCCGAUCCAGGACGGAUAAAAUGUAAAAGAAAAUGUUUCUCUAUGUCGAUUUCACUUGGUUUUUCUCCAUUCCAAUUGAAAUCAAUGAUUCUUUAAAUGAAUAAAAGUUCGUAACAUUGAAUUAAAUUAGCACAAUUUAUUAGCGAGAACACACGGCAAAAAGAGAAUUAUUGCAAAUUGUUUAUUAUUAAAUGAUCGAAUGCAUUUCGGGCGACAAUUGAGCGUCCAUAGUCCUUAACACUAGUGCGAAAAAAUAAAUGUAAACAAAGCACCAACGAAAUGUGUUGGUAUGUUAAAAAGAGAUAAAAUUUAACGAGCAGAAAAACAACGAACGUUACAAAAUAGGAAAUAUUUCUAUUUGAAUUAUUUAUUUUUAAAAUUUGAUUGUUUUUAAAUUUAAAUCGAUAAAUGAUUCCAUUUUUUAAG